GACGAACGCUGGCGGCGUGCUUAACACAUGCAAGUCGAACGGAAAGGCCUCUUUCGGGGGGUACUCGAGUGGCGAACGGGUGAGUAACACGUGAGUAACCUGCCCUUGACUUUGGGAUAACUUCAGGAAACUGGGGCUAAUACCGGAUAGGAGCUCCUGCUGCAUGGUGGGGGUUGGAAAGUUUCGGCGGUUGGGGAUGGACUCGCGGCUUAUCAGCUUGUUGGUGGGGGAGUGGCUUACCAAGGCUUUGACGGGUAGCCGGCCUGAGAGGGUGACCGGCCACAUUGGGACUGAGAUACGGCCCAGACUCCUACGGGGGGCAGCAGUGGGGAAUAUUGCACAAUGGGUGGAAGCCUGAUGCAGCAACGCCGUGUGCGGGAUGACGGCCUUCGGGUUGUAAACCGCUUUCGCUCAUGACGAAGCUUUGUGUGACGGUAGUGGGUAAAGAAGCACCGGCUAACUACGUA
rnacentral:rRNA from 1 species